UACGUAGGGAGCAAGCGUUGUCCGGAAUCAUUGGGCGUAAAGCGCGCGUAGGUGGCCUCAUAAGUCCGCUGUGAAAGUCAAAGGCUCAACCUUUGAAAGCCGGUGGAUACUGUGAGGCUAGAGUACGGAAGAGGCGAGUGGAAUUCCUGGUGUAGCGGUGAAAUGCGCAGAUAUCAGGAGGAACACCAGUGGCGAAGGCGGCUCACUGGCCCGAUACUGACGCUGAGGCACGAAAGCGUGGGGAGCAAACAGG
rnacentral:rRNA from 1 species